rnacentral:lncRNA from 1 species
UCCUAACCAACCCAACAAAAAAGGGGGAAGGGGUGUGUCAUAACCAACACUCAUCCAAUCCAAUCACCAUUUCUUGAAGUAGUAGUCUUAAAAAAACACAUUCAACUUUGUUGUUGUGGAUCUAUGGUGUAAUUCAAAGAUGAAAUCUUUGUAAUAAUUAAUCUUGUGGGGGUGGUGGUUGUCAUCAUCAUCAUGCAGAACAUAAAUCAGCAAGAAAGGUUUGUAUCUGUACAAAGCCUUAUUCACUUUUGUUUAGCAUUUGAACUCCUCUUAGCUUCAAGUGUUGUAGCUUCUUUAAUUGCUACUUGUGCUUCAUUCUCCAUUCCA